UUUGCAAUGAUGAAGAGCUAACAUGUAAGAAGAACCCUUGAUUAGAGGGUUUCUUCAAUGAAAUAUACUUGUUACGCUUGGCUUCUGAGCGAU